rnacentral:hammerhead_ribozyme from 1 species
AUCCGGCUGACGAGUUCCAAACAGAACGAAACGCGCGUCCUGGAU